rnacentral:lncRNA from 1 species
CAGAAAUUGUUGCCUCACAGCCUACGUGAAACUGAUGAGUCAUUUCUUUCCCCACCCUUUCACCUGUCUUUCCAUACGUUUAAGUUUGAAACUUAUGAAGACAAUGCUGAACCUGAUCAUUUUAUAUUUAUUCUACUUAUUACAUCAAUGGUAGUUAAAAUUCUAUAAUUAAUGUGAAGCAAAUUUUAUGCGCGAUACCAUUUUUGUUUCCAACCGUAUUUUUUAAAAGUCGCAAAUAAAACCAAGUUACAUAUAGAAAACGAAGUUCUCGACCUUCCUAGGUAGAGUAUGUCCCCAGAAGUCUACAGAAGACUUAUGCGGGGCAAGGGAGAGGAUGGAUUAGUGACCAUCAUCAUACGACUGCAACCGUCUGAAGAUGUUCAAUAGAAACACCCGCAUUUGCACAAGGGACAAGGAAAACUGUAGAAAACCUUUUCUAGGUGUAGCUGAACCGAGUUCGAACCAACUACUUGAAGGGCUGCAGACUGUGGAGUGGUAACUAUUAUAACUCCAGACAAUGGAAGAUUCUGGAUUAAUGAUAAAUGAGUAUCGCCUGUCCCAGGAGGAGUAUCUACUAUAAGGUAGUCCAGUGGCAUCCAGGCUGUCUGACGGAUUAAUUUGUCAAGAGCACUCAUCACCAUCAGACCUCGCCAUAUAACGGGAGAUUU